rnacentral:rRNA from 1 species
AAGGCCCCUUCGGGGGUGCUCGAGUGGCGAACGGGUGAGUAACACGUGGGUGAUCUGCCUCGUACUCUGGGAUAAGCCUGGGAAACUGGGUCUAAUACUGGAUAGGACCGCACUUUAGUGUGUGUGGUGGAAAGUUUUUUCGGUACGAGAUGAGCCCGCGGCCUAUCAGCUUGUUGGUGGGGUAAUGGCCUACCAAGGCGUCGACGGGUAGCCGGCCUGAGAGGGUGGACGGCCACAUUGGGACUGAGAUACGGCCCAGACUCCUACGGGAGGCAGCAGUGGGGAAUAUUGCACAAUGGGCGCAAGCCUGAUGCAGCGACGCCGCGUGAGGGAUGACGGCCUUCGGGUUGUAAACCUCUUUCGACAGGGACGAAGCUUUUUGUGACGGUACCUGUAUAAGAAGCACCGGCUAACUACGUGCCAGCAGCCGCGGUAAUACGUAGGGUGCGAGCGUUGUCCGGAAUUACUGGGCGUAAAGAGCUCGUAGGUGGUUUGUCGCGUCGUCUGUGAAAUUCCGGGGCUUAACUCCGGGCGUGCAGGCGAUACGGGCAUAACUUGAGUGCUGUAGGGGAGACUGGAAUUCCUGGUGUAGCGGUGGAAUGCGCAGAUAUCAGGAGGAACACCGAUGGCGAAGGCAGGUCUCUGGGCAGUAACUGACGCUGAGGAGCGAAAGCAUGGGGAGCGAACAGGAUUAGAUACCCUGGUAGUCCAUGCCGUAAACGGUGGGCGCUAGGUGUGAGGGUCUUCCACGACUUUCGUGCCGUAGCUAACGCAUUAAGCG